rnacentral:lncRNA from 1 species
GUGAAUUCUGAAACUGUGGGUGGUAACUGAAAGUGACAUAGAAUGGAAGGAAUCUUGAUUUAUAAAGUAUCACUUCAAGCAACGUCACUCAAUGACCGGCAACAUUCCUUUUGGACUUUACCUGGCUUUUAGCUAAACUUGGAGAAAGUGACAAUGCUGUUUCAUGCCCCACAAAGAAAAAAAACCUUGAUCUCUGGCAUGAAGAGUCCAUUGAAACAAGGUAUUGAGACAUCAGAUAUUUAGGAUGAAGGUUUCGUGAGGAACCAGGUACUUGAGGACAAUGAUAGCUGCCUAAAUCUACCACACCACAAUGCAGAAGACUGCACAAGGGAAGAACCUUGAGAACCACAUAAAACUCAGGCUCUGCUGCAAGCCUUUCUUGCAGGCAAAGGCAGUCUAAUAAACAUUUUUUAAAAAUCUUGCAUAGAAGAGAGAAGAAGGGAGUGAGCAGCAGAUCUAAAAUCUUUCUGAAACCACCACUAGGAUGAUAAAGUUAUCCUAACUGUGAAAAUACGGAAAAAAAGUGCAUUACUGCAUCACAGUGCUGAUUACAGGGAAGAGACUUAUAAUACAUGUGCUUUGAAGUGGCAGUCUUCAAAAGGUACAGCUUCUGAGAGAAAAAGAUGAAAAACUAAGAGGGAGGCACUGCAGUGACUGGGUGGUAAAAAAUAAAAGAAGUGGAAGGAAAAGUUACAGUCUUACAAGGCAAAGGGUAACAUGAAAGUCAGAGGGUACAUAACCACUUCCUGCAUCAACAGAAAUCUCAUCCCUGAAAAAAUGUAGACUGUUGCUAUACAGACAGAGGAGGAUGACAAGCCAUUAAACUAGAAAUCUUGUAAACCACCACUCAUAUGCAAAACGAAUAGUAUUGAGAGGUGAAGCUAGCAGGGCUUCUUGGUCGAGUGUGGACUUGGAGAACUUUUCUGUCUAGCUAGAGGAUUGUAAACGCACCAAUCAGCACUCUGCAUCUAACUAAAGGAUUGUAAAUGCACCAAUCAGCACUCUGUAAAAUGGACCAAUCAGCACUCUGUAAAGUGGAAGAAUCAGUGCUCUGUAAAAUGCACCAAUCAGCAGGAUGUGGGUGGGGCCAAAUAAGGUUAUAAAAGCUGGCCACCGGAGCCUGCAGGAACAACCCAAUUGGGUCCUUUUCCAUCCUGUGGAAGCUUUCUUCUUUCACUCUUCACAAUAAAUCUUGCUGAUGCUCACUCUUUAUGAGCUGUAACACUCACCAGAGGGUCUGUGGCUUCAUUCCUGAAGUCAGUGAGACCACGAACCCACCAACCCACGGGGAGGAACAAACAACUCCAGAUGCACUGCCUUUAAGGGCUGUAACACUCACUGCAAAGGUCUGCGGCUUCACUCCUGAAGUAAAUGAAACCACGAACCCACUGGAAGGAAGAAACUCGGGACACAUCUGAACGUCUGAAGGAACAAACUCCGGGCACACCAUCUUUAAGAACUGUAACAGCUCACCACGAGGGUCCACGGCUUCGUUCUUGAAGUCAGCGAGACCAAGAACCCACCAGAAGGAACCAAUUCUGGACACAGGGUGAAAUGGAAUAAGUCUAUGCAAAGUUACCACAAAGACACAAAAAGUGAGAAUUAACACAUUUCAGCUGGAUGAAACUUCUCACCAGAAACAACCAUGAAGAAAAAUAAACAUGUAAGAAAUGAUUCAAAAUGAGUUAAAUAUACUAAAAUCUCAAAUCUGAAGAGCCACUUUGAAUUAGAAAUCUGAAAACUGAAAGCAAAAAUAGAAAAAGCAGAAAAAAAUGAACAGAGUUGAUUGAACUUAGCAAAGAAAUGAUAAAAAGAAGACAAAAUCAUCUCAGAGUGAAGAAGACCGAAAUGGAAGAUAAUAAAGUGAAUUGACGGAACGCAAGAAAAUAAUCUGCAAAUGAAUAUAAGUUAACAAACAUCACAAAGCACCAGCUCCUUUAAUUGAGAAAAGAAGAAAGCACGAUGUACAAAAUAAUGACAAGGGGGACUAACCACUGAAACGGUAUGCAUCUGAGGAGAUGGCGAAGACAUUUUUAACAUCUUUAUCAGGAUCUACUGGGAGCAAGGACAUUACCAACCACAGGAGAUAACUAUAAAGCAUUCCAAAAGUAGCUCCUGUCAUGCCCUGUCCUGGGUUCUGCUAGAGGCACAGUGUUUGACCAUGGAGCAUCAAGUGACCAAGUGACCAGUGCCCCGUCAUGAGCUGCAUCGGGUCACACCCACAAAGACAUAGUUUCAUGCUGUACCUGUUAAGAGGUCCUGGCUUCCAGAAGGAAAUUACUUCCACCAGUGGACAUGGUGGAGGAGAGUGGAGGGGAGUAAGAUUAGAAGCAAGGAUACCAGUAGGAUGCAGUUACAGCAAUCCAGGUGGCUGUGCUACAAUUGUAAUAACAUCAGAUCUGUGCUGGUCUAGGCUGACCAUGGUCUGAGCCACCAGCCAAAAGCCACCAGGAUUGUAUCUGAAUUGAAUGAGUUGGAAUUGACCUUUUGUUAAAUGAGCUGAAUCUCCCGAAAAGAAGAAGCCCAUGAUGGAGAACUGUGGAGUACCAGCAUCUCUGUUGGAGAGUGUUAGAAAGGACUUACUACAGGAGCCUGGGCCUCGUGUGAGGAGCAGUGGACAUCUCCGGAGGGAGCCACCUGAACAGAUGCUGGCUGUCUCGUGCCGAGGCCCCGCGCCAGAUCACAGAACUGUGAAGUGAUCCUGGGCAGAGUUGUAUUUAGGACCAAGACAUCUGACAGCAUCACUGGGCCUUCUUUCAGAGAACAAUUGGCACACUUGAAUGCAACGGAGUGGAUAGGUGACAGCUCCUUCCCACGGCAGCUGUGGCAGCUCCAGCUUUCUGUCUAAUCAAAUUAGUUCCUCUCUGCACUCAAACAAGUCAGAAGCAAUCAUCUCCGAAUCCACGCGCAGUGAGCAAAUGCAAACACUGUCAUGGUGUGACGCUAGUAGGACAAGAGGUGAAGGCUGCUAAUAAAUACAGACAUACCAUGUGGCUAUAAUAAGCCACUUAGAAAAAUAGUGGAUAUAGAUUUUCUGUCUUUUACUUAAUCUAUUUUCUUUCCCACAAGGGAGAGACCAGGCAGCUAUCGAGGGAGGAUAAAUGCACUUGCGUUGUGGACGCUCUGCUUCUCUGCUAUUCCCAUUGUUUUCCCGGUGGAGAUGGCACCAGUCUCUAGCCAUUACUGGGCCUAUUGUCUCCCCAUAGGUUUCCUAGAGUCACUAGCUCUGGAUAGCCCAUUUAGCAGUAUCACCAAUGCCACUUGGCUUCUGUAUGAUGAGAGCAGGGAGUCAGCUACGAUAAAGGAAGCCUGUUUUGAGAGACUUCUCCUAAUAUUAACAAGUACAAAGGAAUAAUGGAUUUGAGAAGCAGAAACAUGACCCA